rnacentral:rRNA from 1 species
UACGUAGGGGGCAAGCGUUGUCCGGAAUCAUUGGGCGUAAAGCGCGUGUAGGCGGCUCAGUAAGUCCGCUCUGAAAGCCCGGGGCUUAACCCCGGGAGGCGGGUGGAUACUGCUGAGCUUGAGUCCGGAAGAGGCGAGUGGAAUUCCCGGUGUAGCGGUGAAAUGCGCAGAUAUCGGGAGGAACACCAAUGGCGAAAGCACUCUGCUGGGCCGACACUGACACUGAGAGACGAAAGCUAGGGGAGCGAAUGGG